UUUCCGGUUGAUCCUGCCAGAGGCUACUGCCAUCAGAGUUCGAUUAAGCCAUGUUAGUCGAGGGUGCUUCCUCUUCGGAGGGGGUAACCCGGCGGACGGCUCAGUAACACGUGGACAACUUACCCUUGGGUCUGGGAUAACCCCUGGGAAACUGGGGCUAAUACCAGAUAGGGCAUUGACCGCUGGAAUGCACGAUGCUCGAAAGCUGAGGUGCCCAAGGAUAGGUCUGCGGCCGAUUAGGUUGUUGUUGAUGUAAUGGACCAACAAGCCUACGAUCGGUACGGGUUGUGAGAGCAAUAGCCCGGAGAUGGGUUCUGAGAAAAGAACCCAGGUCCUACGGGACGCAUCAGGCGCGAAAACUUUACAAUGUGCGAAAGCACGAUAAGGGAACUCUGAGUGCCCCCUAAGGGGGCUGUUCUAGUGUCUAAAAAGCAAUAGAAGUAAGGGCUGGGCAAGACCGGUGCCAGCCGCCGCGGUAACACCGGCAGCCCAAGUGGUAGCCACGUUUAUUGGGUCUAAAGCGUUCGUAGCCGGCUUGGUAAGUUCCUUGGUAAAUUUAGCCGCUUAACGGUUAAGCUUUCAGGGAAUACUGCUUGGCUUGGGACUGGGAGAGGUCAGAGGUACUCCAGGGGUAGGGGUGAAAUCCAUUAAUCCUUGGGGGACCACCGGUAGCGAAGGCGUCUGACCAGACCAGCUCCGACGGUGAGGGACGAAGGCUAGGGGCGCGAACCGGAUUAGAUACCCGGGUAGUCCUAGCUGUAAACGAUGCGGGCUAGGUGUUGGCAUUACUGCGAGUGGUGCCAGUGCCGAAGGGAAGCCGUUAAGCUCGCCAUCUGGGGAGUACGGUCGCAAGGCUUAAACUUAAAGGAAUGGCGGGGGAGCACCACAAUCGGAAUUGU
rnacentral:rRNA from 1 species